GACGAACGCUGGCGGCGUGCCUAACACAUGCAAGUCGAACGGUGUAUAUGAUUUCGGUUGUAUACAUAGUGGCGAACGGGUGAGUAACGCGUGAACAACCUGCCUUCCAGAGGGGGAUAACAUUUGGAAACAGAUGCUAAUACCGCAUAAGACCACGACCUGGCAUCAGGAUGAGGUCAAAGGAGCAAUCCGCUGGAAGAGGGGUUCGCGUCCCAGUAGGUAGUUGGUGAGGUAACGGCCCACCAAGCCGACGAUGGGUAGCCGAGCUGAGAGGCUGAUCGGCCACACUGGAACUGAGACACGGUCCAGACUCCUACGGGAGGCAGCAGUGGGGAAUAUUGGGCAAUGGGCGCAAGCCUGACCCAGCAACGCCGCGUGAGGGAAGAAGGCUUUCGGGUUGUAAACCUCUGUCCUUGGUGACGAAACAAAUGACGGUAGCCAAGGAGGAAGCCCCGGCUAACUCCGUGCCAGCAGCCGCAGUAAUAC
rnacentral:rRNA from 1 species